UAUGGGUUUUGUUUUGGGUUUUUGGGUCACAUGACUUCAUCUCUGGCUUUGUUUUGGAUGGUUCAUUUUGAUUCAGGGUUUUGUGGGUGAUUUAAUAAGCAUGGGUUGUGUUGUGGGUUUUGCAUAUCACAACGUUUAGAUUGGGAGGGUUAAGGAUUGGUCUGUCCAAAGCAAGAUACAUAGUGAUCAGUUGAUAGAAAAUUGAUUGAGUAUUUCAUCCUGUUUUUGGGCUUCUAAUUGGUGUUGAUCUUCUGUUUUCACCAUGUUUUCAUAAUUGACCUUUGAAAAUAUUCCUUUUGAUUUUCAUCAACUUCUUUACAGAUGUUGUUCCUUUUGAGCAUGGCUUUGAUGAUAAAUAUAAAAUAAAAGUUGUUCAAUGGUUUUCCUGUACCUUUAUGGAUUGCUUUCUCAUUCAUUUUAAUUCCCGUAAUAGAUUUGAAGGAACAUAGGUUCUGCUAUAGGUUCCUUAAAAAGAUUGAACUUGCUAAGUCUGACCUUAGCUUGCUUUCAUAUGGAAUCACUUAAGACAGGAAACUGCAUUUAUGACAAAUUGGUCCUGGUUUUUCUCCAUUACGAUUUAGUCUCUUAUCUCCCUCUCUCAGAACAAUAGCAUACAGACUGUUGUACAAUAGACUUGAAUAAAGGAAUUACAGCAAAAUUCUUUUUGAAUACACAGCUUUUAUUUAGUAUCAGAACAAUGGAUUUUCUGUACUUUUCGAACUUUGCUUGAACUUCCUUGCAAACUUCUGGAAUUUCUGCUUCUGCUUUGUUAUUUUUUUGUUUUUGUUUUUUGUUUUUUAAUCUCAAAUUUUCUGAUUGAAAUUGUUUCUACUUGGCAAUAAGGAUUGGUCUAUAGGAAAAAGUACUUAGUGAUCAGUUGAUAGAAAAUUGAUUGAGCAUUUGAUCCUGUUUUCUUGCUUCUAAUUGAUAUUAAUCUUCUGAUUUUCAUCAACUUCUUUAAGGCUGUUGAUUUGGUUCGUUUGAUUAUAAAUACGAGUAGCCUGAAUAAGUGCAUCUCCAACAUUGAUCAUAGCUGUAAUGUUUUCAUAAUUUGCUUAUUUUUUACAGAUGUUGUUGCUUUCGAGCACGGCUCUGAUGAUAAAUAUAAAAUAAAUUUUUUUCGAUUGUUUUUCUCUACAUCUAUCCAAAUUUGGGAUUGCUUUCUGAUUCAUUUUAUUUCAAGGUUUCGGAAUUUGGAUCCUUUAUUGUUUAUCGGUGACUGUUAGUGUUUACUGAUCUCAAGUAACGUUUAUUUGAAGAUUAUAUGCACAUUAAGGAUUUACAAAGAUAAAAUUCUUGGAUUGGAAGAUGAAAACAGUGGAAGUCAUUGUGGUUGUGAUGUUGUCUGCUAUUGAAUUUUUUUGAUUACUAUUAAAUUUUUAGACAAUUAGAUUAGUUUGUUUCAAACUGUUUCACAUGUUAUCUGGUAUAUAAACUUUUUUAUCACCAUGUUAAACGGUUUUGCAGUACUGUUUUUCCUUUCUUUUGUUUUGUUUUUGUUUUUGUUUUUUGUUUUCUCUCCCAUAACUUAUUUCAAAACAUCUACAAUGGAAUUGGAGUUGAACUGUUAGAAUACACAACUGCAACAAAGAGUGUAUCAGAGCCAAUUCUAUGAAUCACAAAGUUUCAUAGUAUUUAAAUUAGGCUAACUUCAGAUAUGCUUGGUGACACUUUGGAUAACAAAGUUUCGAUGAUAAAUAUAUUGUUGACAUUUGGUCAGUUUUUUUUUUUUUUUUGGCAAGAAGGAAAGGGACCAAUUUAAGUGGUAACUGUGAAUGGUUUUCUGUGUGUAUAGUCCAUGGAUCUGCAGAUGAGUCCACUUUAGUUGAAGAUGCAUUUGAGUCUGCCAAUGAAUUAGAUCGGUGCUAAACCCCCAUUGUAGAAACUUUAGUUGAAGAUGCAUUUGAGUCUGCCAAUGAAUUAGAUCGGUGCUAAACCCCCAUUGUAGAAACUUGAUACCAGCUUGCUUAAAAUACCAGGUGUUAGCUGAAUCUUUCUUUUUACGAUUGAAAUACCAAUUUUUGUAAUAUGUAAAAUUGUUAUUGUAUUAUAUUAUGUAGAUCAAUAUUUGAGGGGAAAAAAAAAAUUAAACCCGCAGCAUCGCGCGGGAGAAUUUUCUAGUUAUUUACUAUAUACUAAAGGAGGGUUGGUGUUCAUUUCUCCUGUUCAUUUAACAGUAUUUUGGCUCGAAGUGGAGUGACGCUUCUGCCCUCGCUUGAAAUUUUUUUGCAGCUUUGCCACUGACUUGGAAACGGCGGAUCUCGCCGCCGUUGGUCUUCUCUUUCUUCUAAAGUCAUGUAAUCAUCUUUAUCAAUUAUCAAGAACGAUCGAGAGAUAGAGAGAGAGAUAAAGAAAUCGGUCGUGUUUUUCUUUGCUUUGCAUGAAGAGAUAGAGAGAGGUAUCCGAGUCAAAUUCCUCAAGCGCUAGGGUUCCAAAGUUUGAACCUUUAAUCCGAGGGGAGAAAGGAAGAAACAGAAGAAAAAGGGGGAGACGGGAAGGACAGAGGAGGCAGAGGAAUCCAAAAGAGGAGAAGAACUGCUCUACUGCACAGAUUCAAGAAUGGUAGCGCCAGAAACAUGGAGGAUAAUAACAAAGCAAAGUUAACUGAAAAGCUCUACACAGCAAAGAUCUGGAAGCAGCUGCAAAGGCUACUAAGGAAUCUUAUGUAAAAAUUGGAAAGCUGAAAAUUGUGUACCUCUUUGGCAAGCUAAAAAAUGAUCAGUUUAGAGAUGGAGGGGAGAAACUUGGCCAAUGCUACCUAGAAGAAAUUUGAGAUUGCAAGCAUGGUGGAAAAAGACCACUGAAGUUAGGAGAUAUGAAGGAGGAAUUGCAAAAGUACACCUUUUAAUUCAGGAAAGAAAACCAAACCCGC